rnacentral:tRNA from 1 species
GGAGUUGUGGCUCAGUGGCAGAGUGCUCACCUAGUACGUGUGAGGCACGGGGUUCGACCCUUAGCACCA